GUGCCACGUGUCCCACGUCUCCCAGUGGGAGACGUUGGAUGUCCCCCUGGCCAUUUAAUGAAUUUUGGGUCUUCUUCUUCCUCAUAACACCAAACAGAGAGAGCACACCAAACAGAGAGCACGAAAGGGGUUGCGAUUUUAGGGUUUUCAAGGUUGUGAUUUUGGUGGUGAGAUUUUAGAGAGUACUUUGCAUCAAAACUUCUAUAUCUAUCAAUCACACAUUUGAGAUGGUUAGGUCACUAUUAUAGGGGAAAUGCUGCCCGAUUUUAUCUAGGAUAAUAAACAAUUAAUUUUAUAUAUGCAUUCUAUAAGGAAGAAACUUAUUGUAUGUUGUUUGAAUUGUUUGUUUUGUUAUUCACAUGCAGAUGGUUAGGUCACUAUUAUAGGGGAAAUGCUGCCCGAUAUUAUUUAGGAUAAUAAACGAUUAGUUGAGAACGGGCAUUACUUGAUUGAACAUGCAAGUCCCAGGCAUUACUUGAGAACGCUAACAAGCACAUCAUAUACAGAGGCACAAAUUGAUGAGUUGCGACAAGAAUGGGCGACAUAUAUGUUGCCGAUAAUCCAAAGUUACCGACCUCGUUGAUAGGUUUUUUUUUAAUUUUUUAACUCUUUCUUCAUACACAAUGCAAUAUUUGUUCAUUUUGAAUAUUUCUAACAAAUAUUGUAUUUCUUGUAUAUAUCUAACAAAUAUAUUUUUUUAUUUCAAUUUAAAUUAAUAUUAUUUCAAUUUAAUUAAUUAUUAAAUUAAUUUCAAUUUAGAUUAAAAUAAUUUCAAUUUAAAUUAAAAUAAUUUCAAUUUAAAUUAAUAUUAUUUCAAUUUAAAUUAAUAUUAUUUCAAUUUAAUUAAUUAUUAAAUCAAAUUAAAAUAAUAUUAAUUAUAAAUUUAUUUAAUUUAUUUUUUUUAAAUGUGGGAGACUUUCA